rnacentral:rRNA from 1 species
CUACGGGGUGCUGCAGUGGGGAAUAUUGCACAAUGGGGGAAACCCUGAUGCAGCGACGCCGCGUGAAGGAUGAAGGUUUUCGGAUCGUAAACUUCUUUGAUCGGGGACGAAUAAUGACGGUACCCGAAGAACAAGCCACGGCUAACUACGUGCCAGCAGCCGCGGUAAUACGUAGGUGGCAAGCGUUGUCCGGAUUUACUGGGUGUAAAGAGCAUGUAGGCGGGAAUACAAGUCAGAUGUGAAAUGCUGCGGCUCAACUGCAGCCCUGCAUCUGAAACUGUAUUUCUUGAGUACUGGAGAGGAAAGCGGAAUUCCUAGUGUAGCGGUGAAAUGCGUAGAUAUUAGGAGGAACACCGGUGGCGAAGGCGGCUUUCUGGACGGUAACUGACGCUGAGAUGCGAAAGCGUGGGGAGCAAACAGGAUUAGAUACCCUCGUAGUC